rnacentral:rRNA from 1 species
UACAGAGGUCUCAAGCGUUGUUCGGAUUCAUUGGGCGUAAAGGGUGCGUAGGCGGGUCUUUAAGUCAGGGGUGAAAUCCCGGAGCUCAACUCCGGAACUGCCUUUGAUACUGGAGAUCUUGAGUCCGGGAGAGGUGAGUGGAACUCCGAGUGUAGAGGUGAAAUUCGUAGAUAUUCGGAAGAACACCAGUGGCGAAGGCGGCUCACUGGCCCGGUACUGACGCUGAGGUGCGAAAGCGUGGGGAGCGAACAGG